UACAGAACGCCCGGGCUUCGGCCUGGUUAUUCAUAACCCUUUGUUGUCCGACUCUGUUGCCUCCGGGGCGACCCUGCCUUCGGGCGGGGGCUCCGGGUGGACACUUCAAACUCUUGCGUAACUUUGCAGUCUGAGUAAACUUAAUUAAUAAAUUAAAACUUUUAACAACGGAUCUCUUGGUUCUGGCAUCGAUGAAGAACGCAGCGAAAUGCGAUAAGUAAUGUGAAUUGCAGAAUUCAGUGAAUCAUCGAAUCUUUGAACGCACAUUGCGCCCCCUGGUAUUCCGGGGGGCAUGCCUGUUCGAGCGUCAUUUCACCACUCAAGCCUCGCUUGGUAUUGGGCAACGCGGUCCGCCGCGUGCCUCAAAUCGUCCGGCUGGGUCUUCUGUCCCCUAAGCGUUGUGGAAACUAUUCGCUAAAGGGUGUUCGGGAGGCUACGCCGUAAAACAACCCCAUUUCUAAGGUUGACCUCGGAUCACGUAGGGAUACCCGCUGAACUUAAGCAUAUCAAUA
rnacentral:rRNA from 1 species